GUCUUUUUGAGUUAUUUUUAAAGUCUGACCUGCCCACUGAAUAUUUUUAAAUGGCCGCAGUAUUCUAACUGUGCAAAGGUAGCAUAAUCAUUAGUCUUUUAAUUGAAGGCUGGUAUGAACGGUUGGACGAAGUAUAAGCUGUUUCAUAUAAAAUUAUAUUAGAAUUUUAUAUUUUAGUUAAAAAGCUAAAAUAUUAUUAAAAGACGAGAAGACCCUAUAAAUCUUUAUAUUUAAUAUUAUUUAAAUUUUUUUGAUUAAUUUUAUUUUUAUAAUAUUAAAUAUUUUGUUGGGGUGAUAUUAAAAUUUAACAAACUUUUAAUUUUGAAUUAGAACAUUAAUUUAUGAAUAGUUGAUCCAUUAUUAAUGAUUAUAAGAUUAAGUUACUUUAGGGAUAACAGCGUAAUUUUUUUUGAGAGUUCAUAUCGACAAAAAAGUUUGCGACCUCGAUGUUGGAUUAAGAUAUAUAUUUAGGUGUAGCCGUUUAAAUAUUAAGUCUGUUCGACUUUUAAAUUCUUACAU
rnacentral:rRNA from 1 species